rnacentral:rRNA from 1 species
GACGAACGCUGGCGGCGUGCUUAACACAUGCAAGUCGAACGGAAAGGCCCUGCUUUUGUGGGGUGCUCGAGUGGCGAACGGGUGAGUAACACGUGAGUAACCUGCCCUUGACUUUGGGAUAACUUCAGGAAACUGGGGCUAAUACCGGAUAGGAGCUCCUGCUGCAUGGUGGGGGUUGGAAAGUCUCGGCGGCUGGGGAUGGACUCGCGGCUUAUCAGCUUGUUGGUGGGGUAGUGGCUUACCAAGGCUUUGACGGGUAGCCGGCCUGAGAGGGUGACCGGCCACAUUGGGACUGAGAUACGGCCCAGACUCCUACGGGAGACAGCAGUGGGGAAUAUUGCACAAUGGGCGGAAGCCUGAUGCAGCAACGCCGCGUGCGGGAUGACGGCCUUCGGGUUGUAAACCGCUUUCGCCUGUGACGAAGCGUGAGUGACGGUAAUGGGUAAAGAAGCACCGGCUAACUACGUGCCAGCAGCCGCGGUGAUACGUAGGGUGCGAGCGUUGUCCGGAUUUAUUGGGCGUAAAGGGCUCGUAGGUGGUUGAUCGCGUCGGAAGUGUAAUCUUGGGGCUUAACCCUGAGCGUGCUUUCGAUACGGGUUGACUUGAGGAAGGUAGGGGAGAAUGGAAUUCCUGGUGGAGCGGUGGAAUGCGCAGAUAUCAGGAGGAACACCAGUGGCGAAGGCGGUUCUCUGGGCCUUUCCUGACGCUGAGGAGCGAAAGCGUGGGGAGCGAACAGGCUUAGAUACCCUGGUAGUCCACGCUGUAAACGGUGGGUACUAGGUGUGGGGUCCAUUCCACGGGUUCCGUGCCGUAGCUAACGCUUUAAGUACCCCGCCUGGGGAGUACGGCCGCAAGGCUAAAACUCAAAGGAAUUGACGGGGCCCCGCACAAGCGGCGGAGCAUGCGGAUUAAUUCGAUGCAACGCGUAGAACCUUACCUGGGUUUGACAUGGAUCGGGAGUGCUCAGAGAUGGGUGUGCCUCUUUUGGGGUCGGUUCACAGGUGGUGCAUGGCUGUCGUCAGCUCGUGUCGUGAGAUGUUGGGUUAAGUCCCGCAACGAGCGCAACCCUUGUUCACUGUUGCCAGCACGUUAUGGUGGGGACUCAGUGGAGACCGCCGGGGUCAACUCGGAGGAAGGUGGGGAUGACGUCAAGUCAUCAUGCCCCUUAUGUCCAGGGCUUCACGCAUGCUACAAUGGCUGGUACAGAGAGUGGCGAGCCUGUGAGGGUGAGCGAAUCUCGGAAAGCCGGUCUCAGUUCGGAUUGGGGUCUGCAACUCGACUUCAUGAAGUCGGAGUCGCUAGUAAUCGUAGAUCAGCAACGCUGCGGUGAAUACGUUCCCGGGGCUUGUACACACCGCCCGUCAAGUCAUGAGAGUUGGUAACACCCGAAGCCGGUGGCCUAACCGUUGUGGGGGAGCCGUCGAAGGUGGGACUGGUGAUUAGGACUAAGUCGUAACAAGGUAGCCGUACCGGAAGG